CACUUCUGUGUUGUUCCUGGGGACGGGAGGCUGAGAAAUGAGGCCACAGGGCCCUCCCAGCCUGAUGCGCUCUGGACUUCCCUAACCGCGACCUCCGGGCCAGCCAGAGCCCAGAGAAGAACUCUGCGGGCUCCCAGCUCCCGGGGUUCCGAAGUGGAGGGAGAGGGGACACUCCCCCAGGAGGGACCAACGGGGUCCCUGCUGGCCUUCCAGGCAUCACGGAUCGACAAACGGCCUCCUCUCCCGCCCCUCUUCUUUUGCUGCCUUUCAGAGGCUCACCAGGAGUUAGAGCUGAAAAGAAUACAGACAUCAUGUCUCCAAAUACAUUGGCCAUCAUCUCCUCCAACCCCCGGCCUCCGGGAGCGGCCCCUGACCAGGACCAGUGCCAGGCUGCGGAGCACGCUAGCAGCGGUUGCAAGGCCAGGUGAGUCAUUAUGUGGCAGCCUCAACUGAACACCCCCUGACCCCCCAGAUGGACCCGGCGCUGCAUUAUCUGCAAGCUCACAAAAGGACCCCGUUUGCUCCUGCCUUCAAAUCCCCCACGGAUUUGAGUUCCGUGGUCUGCCACGAAUUCCCCACGGAUUAUGAGUUCAUUUUCUGAUCUUUAGUUUUCCCACUUGUAAUCUGGGAAUAUUCAUGGGUCACUGUGAGGAUUAAAUGAGUUUACACAUGCAAAGCUCUCAGAACAGUGCUCGGCCCAGACCAAUCCCGUGAGAAGCAUGAAUGGGACAUGAGAUGCCCGCCUGCAACUCGCUUAGGUUCGUGGUGAGACAAGAUGCAGAGAGCUGGAAACCCAGCAUCUCAAAUACAAACGCAGCCUGGCCAUCGACUAUGACCUAACUUUACCCCAUUGGGUCCCCAAGGCAAGUUGGGCACUAACGAAUACUCCGCUCCGGCAGAGAGAAGGCAGGUGAUGACACGCGGGGCGGGGGUGGGGGGCUGACUGUGACAUACAUGGAGUGGACCGUGGGGACUUGAAGAGCCCGUGCCUAUCUUCAGGGAGGCAGCCAGGACUCAGCUCCAGCCAACUGCUGCAACGUGCAAGGUAGGAGCAGCAUGGCUAGGCCUGCCAAUUUUUAGAGAAAAGCCAGACCUCUGGAUUUUCAGGUCACACUUCCUAAUUUUGAAAUACUCUGUUAAUUAAUUAAGACACUGUGAGUGCAAAGGGAGCUCCAGAUCAUGCAGCCUGUGUUGCGUCAUCUGGACACAGGCAGCAUGUCCAAGCCAGGGUAUGCCUGUCAUUUUCAAGUCUUCUGUCCCCAACUUGCCAGCAGUGUCCCGAUGAGCUGAUCAGGCCACUUCAACACCAACACUUAAAGCAGGUGGCAUAAGACCAAAAAGGUGACAGCCCCUUUCUCUGUGGACACCUGCCAUCCUCUCCAUCCAUGGAAUGAGGGUGAGGAGAAGGGAAAACAGGAAAAUGAGGGGGCUCUCCCUAAAGGACCACAGGCCCCUUGGCCUAAUCCACCUCCUGCAGGUGUUCCUCUGAUAAAGAAGGCAGCCCAAAGGGAAGACCAGGGGCUUAAGCCCCCAGAAUCUCCAUCAGUCACCUCAAGUGAACAUCAGUAGCCCAAAUGAUAACAUGUGCUGGCUCUGCAAGUUUCAACUCUGAAGCAAGCUUGCUCACGAUGAGACACCACUUCACACCCACCAGGAUGGCUACAACCAGAUGGAUGCUAACCGAUGUCGGUGAGGAUGUGGGGGGAUGGGACCCCUCAGACAUGGCCGAUGGGAAGGUAUAUGGCACAACCGCUCCGGGAAACAGUCUGGAAGCUCCUCAAAAAGUUAAACACAGGGGAUUCCUGGGUGGAUCAGUGGUUUAGCACCUGCCUUCGGCCCAGGGCACGAUCCUGGAGUCCCGGGAUCGAGUCCCACGUCAGGCUCCCUGCAUGGAGCCUGCUUCUCCCUCUGCCUGUGUCUCUGCCUCUCUCUCUCUCUCUCUGUGUGUGUCUCUCAUGAAUAAAUAAAUAAAAUCUUAAAAAAGAAGUUAAACGCAGGGUUACCCCGUGACUCCUGAGUAUAUAUCCCAAGAGAGAUGGAAAUACAAAUCUACACAAAACUCUGUUCAAGAGUGUUCGCAGCAGCAUUAGUCAUGACAGCCAAAAGGCAGAAAGGACCCAAAUAUCCAUCACUCGAUGGAUGGAUAAACAAAAUGUGAUCUAUCCAGGCAAAGGAAAUUACUCAGCCAUCAAAAGGAAUGACGUACUGUUACACGAUACACAAUGCAGGUGACCCUUGAGAACGUCAGGCUAAGUGCAAGAAGUUGAUGAAAACAACCGCAUCUGCCUCCAUGUGUAUGACGUGACCAGAAGAGAUCAAUUGAGAGGACAGAAAGGAGAUUCGUGGUGGCCUGGGGCUGAGAAGAGGAGAGUGAGGCUCAGGGAGAUGAAGUAACUUGCCAGAAGCACACAGGAGCCAGGAAUGGAGCCUGAGUCUGUUUCUCAAGGUAGUCAGAUAUCCAGGAAGAAGCAGGAGUUCUCAGCUAUGGGAAGACAAUGAGACAUACGCAGCUCAGCAGUUAACAGCACAGACUCUGGAGCCCAGCUACUCAAGUUUGAAUCUGGGCUCUUCCACUACUUAGCUGUGUGACCGUGGGUAAGUUACUUGAUGUCUCUCUACCUCAGUUUCCUCCUAUGUAAAAUGGGAAAAAUAAAAAUGCUGUGUGUGUUUCUGUGUGUGUGUGUGUGUGUGUGUGUAUCACAUAAGAUCAUUAUAGGAAAUAAGCAAAUCAGUAAGUGUGAGCAGAUAAGAAGGGAGCCAGGCACAUGGCAAGUUCAUUAAAUAAAUGAAAGCAGAAGCUCAUAUACCCAGAAUCGGAAAGAAAUCAGGUUAGGCCUAACAAAAACCAGGUAGUGGGACCAAAAUCAUGGAAAUAAAUUCUGACAUUCUAUUCUGUUCCUUUCUGUGAAAACAUUUAUGGUUUAGCAAUUGCUGGAAGCUCUCCAGACCACAGACAAAUCUUUAAACGCAUCAUGGUAGUGGCCGCCUGGGAUGACAGGGUACACGGUUGCAGGCUCUAUCACUGACUGGAGCCCAGGGGGGUCCCCUCCUAUCAUACCUGCCCAUAAGGCCAGAUGUCCUCCCCCCGGGGGGCGGGGCAGCAAGUAUCCCUCAGCUCUGCUCUCUGCAAUAGGUGUGAUCUGCAUCGUUUUAAAGAUGUGGAAACUGAGGCUCAGAGAAGUUCAAGAAUUUGCUCACAGUACAGCUAAUAACAUGCAGGGUUGGGAUCCAAACGUGGGUGGAAUUCUAAAUCCUCUACGCUGUGUGGCCUCUAUGUAUUAGUUACUACUGCUGUGUUGUAAAUCACCAAACUUAGUGGCUUGAUGCAACAAACAUUUAUAAUCAUAGAGCUCUUCAGAAAUCCAGGAGUUUGCUCAGCCGGUGGUUCUGAAACUCUCAUGAGGUCGUAGUCAAAAUGUUGGCCAAGGCUACAGUCAUCCCAAAGCUCUGCGGAGCCUACUGCUUCUAAACUCAGUUAAUGAGGUUGCUGGCAGCCUUGGUGUCCUGCUGGCUCUCGGCCAGGGGCUUCAGCUCUUUGCCCACACGGACCUCUCCAGAGGGCUGCUCACAACAGGACAGCUUAGUUUCCCCCAGGGCAAGAGGUUCUAGAAAAAGGCACAGACACAAGAGAGUAUCCAAAAGCUGCAAUCUGGGCAGCUCAGGUGGCUCAGCACUUUAGCGCUGCCUUCAG